AGCGUGGAGACAGGUGGUGCAUGGCUGUCGUCAGCUCGUGUCGUGAGAUGUUGGGUUAAGUCCCGCAACGAGCGCAACCCUCACCUCUUGUUGCCAUCAGGUCAUGCUGGGCACUCUAGAGGAACUGCCCCGGUCAACGGGGAGGAAGGCGGGGAUGACGUCAAGUCAUCAUGCCCCUUACGUCCUGGGCUACACACGUGCUACAAUGGCCGGUACAAAGGGAUGCCACACCGCGAGGGAGAGCUAAACCCAAAAAGCCGGUCUAAGUUCAGAUUGGAGUCUGCAACUCGACUCCAUGAAGGAGGAAUCGCUAGUAAUCGCGUAUCAGCACGACGCGGUGAAUACGUUCCCGGGCCUUGUACACACCGCCCGUCACACCACGAAAGCCUGCUGUACUCGAAGUCGCUGAG
rnacentral:rRNA from 1 species